AACAAGAAAUCUUCAGGAUGAAAAAGCUCUCUUCCCUGUUCCAGAAAAUGAUACGAGAACACCAUGGUCAAGGAAGUGACAGAUCAGAUCUUCUGAAGAAAAGACUGAGGCAAGACUUUUCCCAACUAAAUUUCUACAAGCCUCCGAGGAAAAACCUGAGUGAAAUGGUAUUUACACAAGCUACAGGACUUCUCGACAAGGGUUCAUCAACUGAACCUGAGUCAUCAGGAUCGCAAGAGACUUUGUCGAGUGGUGGAGAGACAGUUCAGGAAAGUGGUACAUAUGCAGCACAAUGAGACUGUACCAGAACCAUUUAUAGUGCAGGUAUAAUUCUUAAACAAGCAGUUAAGAGUGCCCCUAACAUGAGUGCCGAUUGGCCUCCUACAUCUGAGGAUCUAAAUAUUUCCUCAGCUAGAAAGAUUGUGCCAAUUGAACUGUAUAAUUCACUUGCUUGGUGCAUAGGUGUAAGUGAUGAGUUGACAUUAUCUAACAUGGUUAAUGUUAAUUUUAAUAAAAGUCAUUGUUUAAAAACAGAAA